AGUGAAUUCUACAAAGAGGCUAUGGGAAAGAAACCUGGAAAGUACCCUUGGCUGUGUACAUUUGAGUAAAGAGAGCACUAUAAAAUCAAAAACCAAUGAAAUGGUUUCCAGAACACAGAACUAUUAAGCUUAAGAAAAGGACAGAAGGAACUGAAGAGAGAGGAACUGUUUUGGAGCAUCACACUUCCACCUCAGAAGAAAUAAGGAAGGAAGGAGGAGGGUGUUCCCACGGCUCUUCAACCAGGCCGGCUCUUCAGCCUACAUCCCCAUCUCAUCAAGUAAAAGGGAUUUUUCAACUGGACCAACCAGAUGGUUUAACAGUGCACUCCCACACCAUUCAACUACGCAAGGGAGAUACACUUAACAUAUGCAGUCGUAUAACACCUACUAACAUUUUCAAACAUUAAACCUUUAAAAAAGAGUUCUAAAGAAAUAGAAGCUUGAAGUAUCAUCUCUCAAGUAUAUAGACACUACUUCAUGGUGUGGUAAUAUAUGCAUAUAGAAGCUAGUAAACACCUCCAGGAGAUGCAAAAGGAAUUAGAACUGCCACAAGGUGCAAGCAAAACCUUGAGGGGACUAGCUUCAGUAUUUUGGCUUCUUUUUGCUUCUUUGCAACAAAUUGGGAGACAAAGCUUCUUUAAAAUAUGAAGACUUCGAAGUUAUUUAUCCAAACCAACCUGAUCAUUUCUUAAGAGUGAAUAUACCUUGGAAGACGUGUCCUGCCUUUAGUAGCGUCACAAUGGAUUACAUCCUCUAUAAAGCAGUCUGGGAGGCUAACAUCUGCCACAAGACAAAUAUGGUGCCUGCCCCCAUGGAGCUCAUAUUCGAAUGGAGAAAAUGUCAACAAGUAUCCCACGGAGUGAACACUUCAAAAGGAGAAGCACAGGUGAGAAAAUCGAAUUUGGACACCGUUGAGGAGACUAUUGCAGUCAUCCAAGCUCAAGAUGGUGGAGCUUCAUCCUUGAGAAUAACCAAUGGGGAUAGAUUUAAGAGACACUUAGAGUCUGCAGCCAACAGGGCUGAAUGAGCAGAGAGUUAUGAUUCAGAAGAUCAUCUAAAAUUGAACAGCUGCCACUACUGGCAAUAAGUCUACUGCCAUUUGGUAGAUAACCUUCUUAUCACACAGAAAAAUAUCAGUACAGACAAAUAGACCGCAAAGAAAAUGAGACCAUCAGCAAAGAAGAUAAAGAAGUUUGUACAAAGCAACUUUUUAUAAAUGGAUGGCUGUCAGGCAAAAAUAAAUUUCCUGUGGACAAGACCAAGAGCAAGGCAAGAGGAAAAUAAACAUGUUUAAACUA
ensembl:lncRNA LINC00343 long intergenic non-protein coding RNA 343